GUUUAGUUUCUAUAACAGGUAGAUCCCGAAAUCUCAGUGGUCUAAUGCAAUAGAAGUGCAUCCAUUACUCAAAACUCAAUCUAUGGUGAGGUGGAAGGACACUGGGAUGGAAAGACUAUCUUUAGUAUAUAGUUAGGUUAUCCUGAAUAUUGAUAUACUUCCAAUACAGCAAAGGAAAAGAGAGAAAUGAAUUCUCAUUCACAUUUUCCUUCAUGCUCUGUACAGUAUUUGCCUUUGUAAUUAGGAUCAGUGAAUUACCGUAACUACCUUUGAGUAAGUCAUUGGAAACCAGCAAUCAUGGGCUACCCCGUGGAAGAUGCAGCAUCAUUGGUAACGAUAUAACCAGCAUUACAUAAAUGGUAUUAGGGAAUGGCAGGAGCAAGAAGAUUCAUAAUGCUUUCAUACAAUUCUUAGAAUUCAGCGAAAGCAAUUUGAAUAUUAAUGGCAUUCCUACCUUUUUCUCUCAGUGGGAGAUAUGAAAUUAGUGAGGAAUGAUGCAUUCAACAAAAUGAAACAUGAAAACAGCAUUCCAGAACUUGGAAAGGAAGCAGUGGUGUCCGGUCACCACAAAGAAUCCUCAGAGCCAGAAAGAACGAUACACAAAGGUGGCCUAUUGGCAGUGCAGAAGCAGAAGCAGAACCAGAUGCAUAAAAGCAGUGUCAGCUUAAAAAAUGGAAACCACCAUGGAAUAUUAUGCAGCAAUCAGAAAUGAUGAGUUCGUGUUGUUUGUGGGGACAUGGAUGAAUCUGGAGAACAUCAUUCUCAGCAAACUGACACAAGAACAGAAAAUGAAACACCGCAUAUUCUCACUCAUAGGCGGGUGAUGAAAAAUGGGAACACAUGGACACAGAGAGGGGAGUACUAAACACUGGGGUCUAUUGGGGGGAAAAGGGGAGGGCCAGUGGGAGGGGGAGGUGGGGAGGGAUAGCCUGGGGAGAAAUGCCAAAUGUGGGUGAAGGGAAGAAAGGAAGCAAAACACACUGCCACGUGUGUACCUAUGCAACUGUAUUGCAUGCUCUGCAUAUGUACCCCAAAACCUAAAAUGCAAUAAAGAAUAAAAAAAAAAUGGAAACCUGACUUGACAGGGUAUGUACUACUCAGGUGAGAAGUUGAUAUUUUCCAGAAAUAACCGUAGUACCCAGUAGACAUCAUCUUGUGAAAGACUGGAUUUGUUUCUGAAAGCAUGUGAAUAUAACACAGGACAUCAAAAAGUAGGUGCAUGUAUGGUGGGGAUUUAGCAAUAAAGUUCCAUUAAUUGGGAUAGGUUAAGUUACAUAAAACUAUCAUAACAACUAUAACCAUUCAGUGGUUUAACCCAGCAAAUGGGUGCUUCUCACUCACACAAAAUACACAGUGUGUCUAAAUGGAUUCUCCAGGGCAGCAAUUAAUAUGACAAGUCAGUAAUGUGGGCUAAUGCAGUCUCCAGCUUCCUCUAGCUGCAUAACACACACACACACACUCUCUCUCUCUCUCUCUCUCUCUCUCUAUAUAUAUAUAUAUAUAUAUAUAUAUACACACACACACACACACACAUAUAUACACAUACACACACACACACACAACAUAUGGACCAAAAUGUCAAUAGUGCUGAGGUUAAAAAACACUGUUAUACAACAAUGAAACUGCACAAUGAUGUUGUAGCCGAGGCACAAGUUUGGGGAACGUACCCUUUGAGAAUAGAAAUCUUACUUCCAAGACAUGGUAGAUAUCUUUAGCCAAUGAUUGCUAUACAGUGCUGUGUCCCCAAUAAGUAGCACACGUAGAAACAAAGAAUAGAAGUAUGUGUGAUUGUACUAACUUCUUAGUUAUCUCCUCAGAAAACUUGUAUUUCCCUUUUCCAUAACUCUAAACUUUGUGGGUCUGUUAGUCCCGAUUACCAGAAGGGAACAUUUCUUUUUAAACAGAUGGCAUAGCAACAGUCCCAUUAAAUUUUAAGCUAUGGCUGCCUUGUGACCAAAAGCUCCCUGUGUCAAGAGAUCAGCAUGUAAAGCAAGGAACUUUCACACUAGCGGAGGUAACUCAUUUG
rnacentral:lncRNA from 1 species